GUCCCUGUAGCGCAAUGGAUAGCGCAUUGGACUUCUAAUUCAAAGAUAAUGGGUUCGAAUCUCAUUUGGGGUU